GGGGUAGAAGUUUAGAAAAUAUUUGACCUGCACUCAAAAGUCGGUGUUCCAACACCCUACCUUA
rnacentral:tRNA from 1 species